AAGACUAUAGACCUGCGGAGUACCUGCGGAAGGAUCAUUAUCGUAUUGUAACAAUUGGGGGGGCCACCGUGGGCUGUCGCUGACCCUUUGAAAGGGGGGUCGUGCACGCCCACAUAGUGUCAUCCUCAUACAAUCCAACUCACCUCUGUGCAUCACCGCGUGGGUUCCUUUCUGGGUCGAGUCAGACUGGCUCAGAAAAAAGGGGCUUGCGUUUUCCAUACAAAUACCCUUAUAAAUCCA
rnacentral:misc_RNA from 1 species